rnacentral:lncRNA from 10 species
CUGAGACAGACUCUUGCUCUGUUGCCCAGGCUGGAGUGCGAUGGCGCUAUCUUGGCUCACUGCAACCUCCGCCUCCCAGGAGAAUGGCAUGAACCCAGGAGGCGGAGCUUGCAGUGAGCCGAGAUCGUGCCACUGCACUCCAGCCUGGGCGGCAAAGCGAGACUCCGUCUCAAAAAAAAAAUAAAUAAAUAAAAAUAAAAAUUAGCAGGACAUAGUGGCAUGCCUUUGUAGACCCAGCAACUCAGGAGGCUAAGGCACUAGGAUCGCUUGAACCCAGAAGUUGAGGCUGCAGUGAGGUAUGAUCACACCACUGUACUUCAGUCUGGGCAACAGAGCAAGACCUGGUCUCUUUAAAAAAAAAAAAAAAAAAAAGUGCUGGGCGCAGUGGCUCAUGCCUGUAAUCCCAGCACUUUGGGAGGCAGAGGUGGGAGGAUUGCUUGAGCCCAGGAGUUUAACACCAGCUUGGCCAUCAUGGCAAAACUCCAUCUCUACCAAAAUAAUACAAAAAUUAGCUGGACAUGGUGGCUGACACCAGUGGUCCCAGCUACUCAGGAGGCCAAGGUAGGAGGAUCGCUUGAGCCUGGGAGGUGGAGGUUGCAGUGAGCCGUCUUCAUGCCAUUGUACUCCAGCCUGGCAGAGUACAGGCUGUACAGAGUACAGACAGAUCCUGUCUAAAAGAAAAAAAA